GAUGAACGCUGGUGGCGUGCCUAACACAUGCAAGUCGAGCGAUUCUCUUCGGAGAAGAGCGGCGGACGGGUGAGUAACGCGUGGGUAACCUGCCCUGUACACACGGAUAACACACCGAAAGGUAUGCUAAUACGAGAUAACAUGCUUUUAUCGCAUGGUAGAAGUAUCAAAGCUUUUGCGGUACAGGAUGGACCCGCGUCUGAUUAGCUAGUUGGUGAGGUAACGGCUCACCAAGGCGACGAUCAGUAGCCGACCUGAGAGGGUGAUCGGCCACAUUGGAACUGAGACACGGUCCAAACUCCUACGGGAGGCAGCAGUGGGGAAUAUUGCACAAUGGGCGAAAGCCUGAUGCAGCAACGCCGCGUGAGCGAUGAAGGCCUUCGGGUCGUAAAGCUCUGUCCUCAAGGAAGAUAAUGACGGUACUUGAGGAGGAAGCCCCGGCUAACUACGUG
rnacentral:rRNA from 1 species